UAGGGAAUCUUCGGCAAUGGACGAAAGUCUGACCGAGCAACGCCGCGUGAGUGAAGAAGGUUUUCGGAUCGUAAAACUCUGUUGGCAGAGAAGAACGUUGGUGAGAGUGGAAAGCUCAUCAAGUGACGGUAACUACCCAGAAAGGGACGGCUAACUACGUGCCAC
rnacentral:rRNA from 1 species